GGUUAAGAGGUAGGGUAAUUCUCACUGAGACCAGAGUUUGAAUCCCUUUAUGCGCGUAAUAUUUUUUUUGUAAAUUUUUGUUCCAUUCCUUAGGUGUGUCGUCUAUGCCCAUAAAAAUCCUAGGUUUAAAUAUCGAUUUUAACACAUAAAUCAGCCUUUUCAUUUUAUUAUUUUCUCCUUGCCGCCCAACCCUUCUUCCCCUCUGAUCAUCUCCGUUUUUCUUUCUUCCUUCCUUUCCUAUUUCCUAUCAUUGUUGUUGCCACCCCUACAUUUUGUUUUCCUGCAUUUUUUAUGAAUUCGUUGUCACAGAAGUGAAUCGGGAAAGGUAAGUUUAUUAGGGAAGAUCUGAUUUUAUGUUUCUUAUUCCCUUCGUUCUCUAUUUCCUUGUGCUGACGGAAUAAAUAAUCACAUGAAUUAAUUUUUGGCAAAGGUUUGGAUUUGAAUCCCUCGGAUCUUCAAUCAAGAAGGUGACCUUGUGCAUCUUUCAAGCGAUCAGAAGUAGAGUAAAUGAAAUUAGUUGGUUUUCAUUCCUCUGUUUAAGUUGAAUUCUAUAGAAUAUCCUGGGAUUGUUGCCAAAUGAUUUUGUCUUGGUGUUAGGUACAGAUCUGAACUAGAUUUAGUCAGAUUUUGGGCUUUGAAGUGAUGAAUAAUGUUACAGCUUCGGAAGUGCGGAUUUUCCAAGUGUGUGUUCUAACCAAAAGAUGGAAAACCAAGUGUGGAUUUUUCCUUACACGAGCAUCCACCGCACACAAACGGAUGGCAGAGCCGUGUGCCACUAUUUUGUUAGGGUUAAAGUAGGGUCACACGACCAUGUGACCACUGUUGGGAAAAAAGUUAUCGUUUUGUAUGCAGUCAUAGUAAGUUACAUGGCCUACCUACAUGGCUGUGCAGCUCAGUAACACGGUCUACACCCCCUCACACGGCCUCCCCACACGGCCAUGUGACCCCUUAUUUCACUGUUUUUCCAUUGUUUUGUGAUAUGUUUCGUUUUAGUCCUUGAGUAAUUCCCUACAUGUUAGAGCCUUGUAAGCAUGAUUGAGACUUCAUUAUUGAUUAAUUGAUUGUAGGAUCGUGAUUGAUAUGAAAUUGCUUGUAUGUAAGCAUACUCUAGUGGCUACUGUUAAUAGUGUUUUCGUACAAAUCAUGUCUCUAAAAUUUUUAAACCAAAGCAUGUUGAUUAUGUAAUUGAUACUGUUACUGAUAUUGCAUUGUUUAGUAUGUUAUGCUACACGAUUGAUAUGAAACCAGUACUGUUACUAUAUUAUUUAGCAUGAUAUGCUACAUGAUUGGUAUGCCAUUAUGCACUGCAUGGGUUUGGGUUUGGGUUUGUUGGAUGACAGAGGAGUUUCGUGGAGUACCGAAAAAAGUUAAAGUCGUAUUAUUGUUUUCAAUGCAUUGCACUAGAGUCCUAAUGAGACUGGGCGAUUUAAUCGCAUUUACUAGCAACUUUUAUCUACAAAAAUUGUUAUGUAUUCAUAACUACUGACAGCGUAUUAUCCUGCAUUGGUGGUUUGACCACAGCAUUGGCAGCACUAAAUGCACUUAUACUGGCAAUUAAUCUACACUUCUGUUACUAGUGGUAUAUCCACAUCAAACACUAGCUCGCAUUUUGUUUGGAGUUUGAUAGACAGGUUCUGGGAAACUCGUGGUGUGUAACAAAUGGAUGGUAGAAUUAUUGCAUUGUUUCAUUGAGAAUGAGAUAUGCAUAAAUUGUUAUGCAAUGUAUAUUGGGACGUUUGUUAUUCUGACCGUCUGUAUGUCUACUUUUGCUUAGACUCAUAUUGAGCUUUCUUAAGCUCACCUCUUAGUUUCCUACUUCUUAGGUAAUGCUCAAAACUAGGAUCGGACUCGGCAUGCGGAUGACUCUUAAACAUUGGACUGUUUUUAUAAUAAAUUAUUUCUUUAUAAUUUUUCUUCUGGUUUUUGGAUUGUAAAUUAUUAAAUUGGACUGUAGCUUGAUAACCUUUAUUUUGGAGGAGUAUUUUAUGCAUGCAUUACAUGUUUGAAUAGUUUGAACUUAGUAACUGGUAAAUGCAUGCUAUUUGGAUUAAGUAAAAUCUGGCAUGAUUUAUUUCUGCUACAAAAUGUGUAUUUAUGGUUUUUAUGG
rnacentral:lncRNA from 1 species